GUCUUGCCUUAGGUUUUGUAUCCUAAAGAAGUCUUGCUUCGAGUUCUUUGUCAAGUAUAUGCAUGUAUGGUAGAGCAAACGUGAACAGACCCGAAGGAUUAUCAUCUUCUUGCGAUAUUCGUCGAUAUGUUUUCAUCCUGAUCGUAGCACCUCUAGGUAGUCGAUGCAUAGCGGCACAUCAAAGCGGAACACUGCUUCGCCCCUUUUCAUCGUCAGAAACGAUGUCUUUAGCGAGAAUAUCACAGGCACUAUAUUAUGCGGUUUCUUUUUUCCUUCUGACCCUCGAUCUCGAUAAUCGAGCCCCAACCUAAGCAAGCGUAUCUAUUACAGAUGUAUCGUGCAGGCGGAAAAGAUCAAGCGACUCGUGGGUCCAGGUUUGCGCACGUUAUCAACCUGAGACGAAGAUGCAAUUCACCGACAAGACGUAUCAACACCAUUAACGCUGCUAGAAGCUGCGGCCCUAGACGUACAGUUUGAGAGCAGAGAAACCUUCACGAAAUGAUAUCUUCAAAUAAAAGCCUACCCCUCAAAUACUCGAACCAUUGCCCGCACAGCUGGCUGCCUCAAGUCAACCAACGCAAUGUAAAAAGGCCGCGUUAGUUCCGCUGAACUGAUUCUCUCUCUCUGUCUCCAUCGUCGUAUCUUCUUCGUGCCGGAAACCGCACUCCGCCCUCGCAGUGAUCGUAGCGCCGACCGCAAUCGCGUGAGUUCGUCGAUCUCACACCUCCUUGCUCUAGCGAGAGGCGUGGCGCGGAAUCGCCACCGUCGGGAAAUCGCGCUACUCAGUAGGGUUACUUGAGGCGAAGUCGGGAUCGCCACGGCGAAGACAAGGAGGUGACAUAACCCCUUACAAUCAUAAACGCCUAAAGGGUGCAGCUAGUCCCGUUGUUGAUGUUACUACGGUGAUAACCGCAUGUUAGAGAAACUCUGACCCUGCGUUGAUUUUGCGCGCAUCGGCGAAGCAGUACUGCAAAGCAUUACAGACACUGGUACUUACUUAGUUGCUACUGAACCAGGGUAUUACCACACAACACCCAAUCAGCUCUGCAGUAAGAAUGAUUUUCCUCGGCUCAUAAAUUACCAACUUAACUGGUUCGUCCCUUCGAGCCAGUAGCGACAAUGGCCAUGAACCAUCUGUUGUUGUGUAAGAUAUACGGGACGAGCUCAUUGUUUCGUUGCUAACGGCGGAAUAACGCUCAUCGCCCAGUGACUGAAAUCUAUGCAGCGACACCAGGCUUCGGUCAGAGAAGAUCUCCAUAAACAUAGACAUACGACAAAUGGGUUAUAUAUCGUCUGCUAACCGCCCUCAGACCCGCCCAAGCCGCGCAGUCUAAUUUGAAGUUCACGUCGAGUCGCGUCCUAUGGUUACUGUAUUCGGUGAAGAACAUUUUCGGUCUACAUAAGGAGUCGUAACCCACACGAUAGCCUUCCUACGACAGCUGCUCCUCAAGCAUCAGUCAGAUCAAAUUUCAGUUAAUCAUGGACUAUUUCCUAUGAGGAUCUUCGCGUCCAGCCUAGCAAAGGUCGUACGUCUGAUCAACUCUCGGGCAGCAAAGAAUUAUGUGAAGUGAAGUAGAUAAAAAAAGAACAUCGAUUUUUUUUCUAUUGAAUUCACUUUGAACCUCAUGCGAACUAGCCUAGUAGAAAUUUGUGCGAACGUGUUAGGCUAGAACUGUUCUGCUGGACUACAAUGUGAAAAAUUGAACUUUGCCGUUGGGCAUCCAUAAAAAAUUAUCGUACUAAUAAGAUUAGAGCGGCGGAAAGCUGAUCGGACGUCGGCUGCAAUUCGCUGUUUAUUUCAAGACAUCAACAAACCUAGAGAGCUGCUUGCAACUGCUAAGGCCCUCAGUUGAAGGCUCUUGAGUAGGCUAAGGUAUUCCUCGCUCAGCUCACCAACUGAAGUCGUUUAACCCGUUCGAGUAUCUAUCUUUAAGUGUGUGCAUGUAUAUGCGCUUUUUCGAACACAAAUGUUCGAUUGUUCACGAAAUGGACAUAGACACAUUGCCAUGACGACCAGUGCUAAGAACUAGAAGUUAGAAGGUGUUUAUAUGUUCCUUAGGUGUCUAGGAGAGAGCUCCCUUUCGUUUAACGGCAUUUAGCGUACGAAGGCAUGGUUGGAACUGCACCAUGUGUCCAAUGCCAUCAUCGCUGCCAAUAGAUCAUCACAAUACAUUAUUAAAUUCAAGGCUUUUAAACUUCUCCUAGCAGAACACCUCCUGAUCAUCCUGGUCGAAGCUGAUUACGCUGAAUUUUCUUAUUAGUCUAAGAAAGUCGAUCGACUGCUUGUACAGUCUCGCAUUGGUUAAUCAUUCUCAUAGCUGUCUAGAACGACAACGCACCACCCAUCGAUUCUACGUUAUCCAACAGAUACUACAUACUCGUUGUUCUGGCCUCAUUUAAUCCAAUCGCGUCGUUAGCCGCUGCUAACUACAAGAUCAUCUCGGGAACCUCGAGUCGUCAUCUUGUCCGCUGUUCAAUAUAUUAUAUAGUAUACUGACGAUGUCGGGCAUGACUACACUGGAAGCCCCCAUUAAGUACGAGCAGCCGCAGUGGCAUCAGAAACAGCCUUAGGGCGAUCCAUCACCUCACUGUUCUCCGAUCUUCGUCGCUUUUCGUUCUCGUCUUCUCGAUUCUUAUAUUUUUUUUUUUUUUUUUUUUUUUUGUUCUCUGAGCUGAGUCAGAACCAUCAUAAAGGAGCAUAUGGUCAGGGAUCUAUCUGUCUGUUUGCGUGUAGCUACUCUGGCAGUCAUAGCCUUCCUGAUUGGUUAUAACACAGAGGGUAAAAGCGGCGUCUUGUGCCGUCACUACCGCAGUUAUGUGAACGGGUAUAGGUAGCUUCUAGAUACAUCACGCGGUACACUGAGUUAGCAAUACCGUGGUAUCGACAAAUGCCGCUUGUAAUGACAAUGUACUGGCUGUAGUCCGUGCUAUGAACAGAAGCCGAAUCUCGAGAAGGCUCUAUGGUACAAAGGGUGCGCGAUGUGUGAUCGAUCUUUCACACUGGCAAGCGAACGAAUGUCGUGUCUCCUCCGUGAUGUUCCCUACCGGGGAAUUGGCACCAUUCCUGUGGCCCCAAUCGGCUCGACGGGCCAGCCCGCACAUCGCAGUGAAGUUUCUUGCAGUUAGUGCUGCUUUUGGUUCGUUGUAAGUUCUACCUGAAUCUGCGCAGUCAUAUAACUUAGCCACGAUACGUCCCGUUUGUAUAAGCUCACUCAGCCGAAGGCAAUAACGGGUUAGUUGUCUGUUACAUAGCUUUUACUAGGGAUGAGUUGCGUUUAAAGCUAACAUCGGUUACUGACGAUGUUAAGGCGAAAGCGAACAAGGAGUGACGCCGACAUCUGAGAAUCACGAAGCAGUGCUUGUCUCAGACUAUGAGCGACACAUGUAUACCAGAAGCACUGUCGUCUGCUUCUCUCAUAGACUGUAUAGCGGCCGAGGCUUAAAUAUUUACUAGCGCCGUCUGGUCUCUCGGACAAAGCGUAUUCCUGCCAACUUCUGACAACUCUUUGUUUCUCGAAAAAAGGCUCUGUUUAAAAAAGACAAUCUGUGUAGACAGUAUUUAGCAAUAUCUAGUGUGCGGAUUAGGGUAUAGUAUUUUUUGCCAGUUAGAACACAUUUACUAUUUUGGAGAGCCGAAUAUGUAGCGCCUGAUCCGUCAUCUCAAUUCCACAUCUCUAGUCCUGCAAAUUUGAAAUGAAGAAAAGAAACAGAAGCAGUAAGGCUUAUCGCUGCUUCGACAUCUCUGAAACGCCAGAGAUUUCGGUCCACUAGAAACCGAUAAAAAGGAAUAAACAAAAUUGUAUUAGACUUAAUAUAUUUAGCUCUAUCGGUGUUUUAAAUUUAAAUGUGGGUCGAACAUUAAUGGGCGAGCCAGCCAUCCGAUGAAUUGCCUAACAGCGUUAGCUGACGCUAAACCCAAAAGAUAGAACAUAUUCAGACAUAUUUGAAUAAUUGAACCAACUGAACACACCUGACGACUAUAUCAGAUACUCAGUUUUUCUGUUGAGGGUUGCAAUCUGAUAAAAAUUUUGGCAAAACUGCCAACAAACGUCAUAGACACGAUGCAGAGCUUUUUUAACAUGACUUCUGCACUCUCAGGGGAACCUUGUACUUCGGAUACGUAACGAGAAGAAUUCUGACGCGGAUAGAGAUGUAUAUGCAGCGCUAUUGGUCACUCGUAUGGAUUUGGCAGCACCACAUAACGUAAUUUUCUGUCUAGUAUUACUUAGCACAGCUUUGAUUAGCAGUAUGAUUUACUCAGCGUUUAUUCAAAUGGAACCGAGAGUUGUCACUUAUGGUUCUGACAUCUAGCGAGAUGUAGAUCAAGCGUAUCCCAGCCCAACAGUCAUAGGUUAUUCGAUCUAUACGGUCCAUACUAGCUCAUCCCGUAUUCGUCAACGGUUUGCUUCCGUAAGAGGAACUUCAAUGAAGAUUUGCCAAGCAAGGCUUACCUGUCAAAGUUCGCUUUUGUCGAUGACACGGAUAGGGCUUCUUUGAAAUAGUCUUCGUCAUACAAGAAUGCUGCCCUACCACAACGUCGCAUGACAGCCAAUCGUCCGCCAGGCUGUUGAACGUAGCUAGUAUCCGCACACGCAUGAACUAACAUAUAUAAUGCUCGAACUUAAGUGAACUUGUCUAAAGAUGAGAACUAGUCCGGGACAAAUCAACUAGCGACUUCGUCCGGCCGAAAAAAGUUCGAUCACUCUGUUCAUGUUCGAAGACUGGUCAUAUCAAGUUGAUUACCCAACCUCCGCCGAAAUGGAUGGGGUUUUUCGACAAAAUGAAGGAAAUGGGGCUACUGCUGCCCGUAGAGCUGCGGCCGUUGUCGAGUAUGUUGUAGAGGUGGAGUGACGAUAUCUGUCUGAUUGAACCCGUCUGACCUCCUUACACCCACAACCCAUUCAAGUCUUAUCAAUUUGCUGUUACCUGAAGUGCAUCAUCAUCGUAGACAGCAGUUCAUGUCCAGGCAUCUUUUGGCAGUUGGAGGAAAUAGAUGGUAUGCGUGUACGAGUGUAUGCGUACGCUUACAUGCACGACUCGCGAGAAAUCUAGGCUAGAUAGGACGCACAUAGGUCGACCUAAAAAAGCUAAUCGAAGACUUGCCUCAGUCUAGCGAGAGAUGCUGUGGUUUCGCCGUUAGUUGCUUCUUUCAAUGCCUAUUUUGCCUGGUUAGGCGGCGCAAUAGUUCUGGCGGAUACAACCGAACAGCACGGUCGUUGCCGCUGUCGCCGCCACCGAGGAAGCCGCGACCGCUUCGAGAGUCAUCUUCAUCAUCGAUCACCCAUUGUCGAGUGAUGAGAAGCCAAUUACAAGCCAAGUACAUCUGUCAUCCUGUUCAGUAGCAGCGAACGUCGACAUCGACGAGGAAUGCUUCAUUCGCGCAACCCCCGCCAUCAAAUCGAGCGUUAGUCCCUCCCGGACCCUUCGUCUUCCUUCUCCACCGUCAUCGCCACUUUAUCUCGAUCUGCCGUACGCCCUAUCAACAUGAUUGACUUUAACAAAUGCUCCGCCGGAUAGAGCUGCAGCAAACCAAGCAAACGCCGAUCUGUUCGAAAACCACGCAACAUCGAUCAGCCUCCACUUAAAUCCGUGUACGCUGUUGCGCUUAACCCCUCGGGUCCGCAGAAAUUCGCUGAACGCGAUUCAGCAGAAUGAAGUUGGCGAGCUCACGGGACCUCGUCCGCAAAUUCACCGGAACGGUCAUCGUUGCCAGGCGCCACAGUGCAAGGGCGCUAACUUCUCAAUGUUGUUUUCUUUUCGGCGGCUCUGCAUCCACUUGGUGUCCACUACGAUUCGCAUUGCUUGUAGUCAGGUCAAACUUCUGUUGUCCCUCAAAGGGCGGUUCUGUCUAGGCCUAGUCGCCGGCCCGUUUCGUCUGUGUGGCCGCCUCUCGAGUUAUCCAAUCUGUUGUCUUGCUUUCGAAGCCAAAUAGGCCAGCAUCAAGCACCUAAGCAGCAGAACUCGGAUGUGUUUCUAGAUGCUUUGAUGCUCACGUUUAUCGCAGUAUCACAACUACAGCUGGUCGUACAGACAUAGACGACCAUCAAAGGUCCUUUUUUGUACCUUUUCUCUUUUGAUGCACUACACGCAACAAACCUACAGAGGAAUAAAUAUCGCAUUCGCCGGUCGCUACGGGCGCUGCAAAUACUGUCUGCAUUUGGUCUACUUUAGCUAUUAGGAGAGCCAGGUCUGACGCGGAUUCUUCUUUUCAGCCAGCAGUCCAGUGCAAUGGUUCUGGCCAUAUGCUACGCUGUUCCGGAGCGCGCCCAACGGACGAAAGAAAAACAGGGCUCUGCUCCGCGAUGCACCGAGUAUAUCGUAAGAGCGACGGCGGCGGCGGCGGCAGUAGUACGAUCUCGUAGGCGCAAUACAACGGAGUCUUGCUAAAACAAGAAAUCACUAACAGCUACAGACAGCGAGCGAGCGGUAUUGCCCGAGGCAGCGCGUAGGCAGAGAGGCGCAUAGCUCAGCGAAGAGGUAAACGUUUUUACGAGUUUCUUUUUUUUCUUGAUUUUUCAUGUUGUUAUAAUACUAUAGAGGCUUGCGCGUAUUGAAGACGACGAUGUCCCGGUGUGACCGAAGAUCCAGGAUCCGGGCCGCCGGAGGUUGAUUAAGGAGGCCUGAGGGCCAUGGCUUUUAUCCGGACGACGACGAUAAGGUGAAGAAUUCGAGCUUCAGUUCAUUGCGUGUGAGUGAAGUGCGUGUGUAGUUUAUGUAGUGGGCGCGGGUCGAAGGUAUUUUGAGAGAGUCAAACAAUGAAAAGGCGCCAAUCGUAAAAUCUAAUUGAAAUUAAAUUUAUGCCGAUCGAUGCCGGCUGAUGCGGCUACCGCCCAACCGUUACGUUGGUAUGAAGCAACCUUCGAACGCGGGUGGUUAUCUCAUGCUUUUAGAUACUUCUGUCUCGCGCCCUCUAUUCAGAUGAGGAAAUGAACUUUUACACUUGAACAAAAUAGAAAUCCGUUCCGUGAUUAACAACAUAGAGCUGUUAGAAUUUCAACCGUUUGUUUACAGGCCGUUGCAAGACCGCGUCAUCGAUAGGUCGACAACUAGUCGUAUCAGCACUGUACUGCUAGCUGCGACGUUUGUUUUUACCAGACGAUGAAGUUGUUCCUAAGUUUAGACAAAGUUGAACUAGAUUACCGCAAAUCGUUCGGAUCAGCCUAUAAAGCGACGAAAACGUUUUAGCUACUAUCGAGGUCAAAAGCCCAGCUAGCGCCACUAUCGACAGAGACAGCCGUGACUGUCGGUCAACUGCCCAUGAACAGUCCAUGUACAGAAACAUGCAAUGGUAUACUGCGGACUGGUACGUUUUCACGCUCCUUGUGCAUGGCCGGCCAGUCGGUCAAAUCAGAGUAUUGACUGCUUUGUUCCUGCGGGGCGUGUUCCAAGAAGCGACAGAUUGUCCGGCAACAGACCUCCUCUUCUGUGUCUCCCAAACACCAGAACCAUAAGGGUCAGCAUGAUCAUGACCAUCGAUGUGGGUAUAUAUGAUGAUGCAGUACAUAGCAUCGACAACUCUGAGACAACAGCAGGAUCUGUAACAAUGCUGGCGUCAGCUACAGGCGUUCGCCGGAAUCGUCAACAGCUUCGCACUCAUCUCAUGCGCCAGCCGAACCAUGGCAAGAGGCCAACGGCUGGUCGAUAAUAGACAAACGUUGCUGCAAGUGAGCGUCCUAGGCGCAUGCAAACCGACGUCCAAUGGGACGACCAUAGGAGGCGCUUGCGCUAUAGCCAUUCGUAUUGGGCCAACUGUUCAAAAUGUUGGCGCGAAGCUUGAAAUAGCUAAAAAAUUGCAAAAAUCGAAUCCGUCCGUCGCAAGUGGAUUCCGCGAAUAGGCAAAGGUGUGAUAGGUGUCUGUAUUGUUCGUUCGGUACUCGCCUCACGGACGAGAUCGACAAAGGGACGGGCUCGAGCUUCCGAUGCCACCGCGGCAGUAGCGGCAAUUCAAAGCGCUACUAUUAUGAACAUACUGGCGUAGAUACGAGCACAAUUUAAUAUUAAUCGUUUUCAAUUCACACCCAUCCGUCUGUGUUCAAUAUAUGGCACAGCUAUAUCUACAACUGUUAUUUUCAUCGGCAAUGUUUUUCACGGAACUCCUGGCAGCAAACAUUAUUAGCUGCCCAUGUCUACGAAACGAAAUAUAUGGUUAUUGAUGUUUUGCAAAGAUCGCGACAUAUAAUAGUCCUCGAUCGUGCGGAGACAUAGGUCGUCGGCUACACAGGCAUUCUGCAGAUCCAGGCCUAUCAGGCAGAACCUGAUUCGCUUUCGUUCUUCCUGUACAUCCUCACCGCCAGAGCAACUGAUCUCUCUCUCUCGUCACCCAUUACGAAUAGCGUCGGUCGUAUCAAAUGAGCUUACUUAAUCCAGGUACGUAGAACGCCUUCUAUUCUAGCCAUUCGAUGCUGGUGUUAUUGCGUGAAACCGGUGAGUACAACUGGUCCAAUAUAUGAAUACUUUUAGAAAUAUUUCCGUAGAACAUCGCUAUUGAAGGCGAACGAAAGCUUCGUUAGCUAACUGCAAAUAGUUGUUUCCUCACUUGAAUGCUAUAAUCCUAAUAAGCUGAUGUCGUGAGUUGUGAAAUUUCAUAGGUGGGACAGCUCUAAGCUCACAGGCCUAUCCGGUAACGAUAGCCAAUGUAAAUUCACCUGUUGUUCGUAGGGUAUACAAGCGGAACGUCAACAACGACACCUCAGAAAGACUUCAAGAAGCAUGUCAGCUUCGGCAACUUUACCUGCGCAUCCGACCGGCGUUUCCAAUCGGAACUUCUUCGUUUUUCAAACAGCCAGCCAUGUCUGCUGUGUAAGCACAGGUGCAGCGACCACCGGGGGACCAUCAACGAGUCCUACUGAACGCUCAGCCACCGCAGCAACCGCAGUCAGCAACGUGGUGGGCAUUCGUCCUUACACCUCCCGUCUUGUGUUGCCAGCCGACCGAUACGAGAAGGCCUAAAGCCAAACGAAUAGAUAAUGGCUAGCAUUCUUAAGUGUGCCGAAAGGCCUUAAGUUAAGGUUUUAAGAAAUGACGGCAUCGUUUACAAAGUCGCCAGCUUCGGCGCCGAUUGCUACGAUAGUCGAGCCCGAAAUCGAAGCGCAACUUAUUGGAGGAUGACUUUCUCCGCCGGUUAGCCAGCCCGUCAACGGUUUCACUUCCUAUAACAUCUGCGACGGAUAGAAGCUAUACUUCCGUGUUAUUGUACGCAACGCAUAGAGGAAGAUAUCCUCGUCGUAGCCUAAGAGGAUUUCGUCGGGAACGUGUUUCAGCAUCGCUAGGAAGAAAAAGCUGUACUGGGAUAAUUUGACUCUAGGUCGAAGUAGAUCUGAUCCAGGUGUCACUGCUCUCGUUCUUCUUUAGCAGUUCGAAAUUGAACUUCGGUAUAUUCGACUGCUGUGCCCUUUUGCGUUCCUCUAACCUGUAGACAUUCACUACAUAGGCUAGCCAGCGGAAUCAGCCGAACGUGUGUGCAUGUAUCGUUAUUCAGGUAGAUGUACCAGAGGUUAAAUGCCCUCGAAGAACAGACGAAUAGCAAGGCUUCGACCUAGCACGAAGGUCAUAACCAGAGCUGAGGUUCAUGUCUGAGCUGAAAAUAGGAAACCUGGAAGGUGCGGCGCAGUUGUUCAAGUCGGACAGAAUAGGACAAACGACAGUAAAAGAAGCAGAAGAGGUCGCUCGCUCUGAUGCUGGCAUUUGCCGCGGUAUCUGAGCUACUUGUUGCCAGGUGGCAGAGACUGAUAGAACCUACGCCUGCACCAACCUGCGCCUGCUGAGCAGGUCACGAAUCUGGGUUAAGACAGCGCUAAGGCGGGCACCUUCUGCCAGAAGUGUGCACUUCUUACCUAUUGCAUUCAACCAGAAUUAAGGCACGAAGUAGAAGUUCGGCAGCCUGGCGCACGCGGACCUUGCGCCGCCGUUUGUGAACUAGAAGCAGAAGUUGUUCAUGAGCGAGCAUCGAGAGCAGCAUCAUCAGCCAGACAAGCUGUGAUCAUCAGCGCGAUGCAGGUUGCCGACCUCAAACAAUAACACGUACUGCGACAUAGAACACGGUGGUAUUGUCAAGGUUUGUUGCACUACCAUUUCCUGUUUACGCUCUGCUGUUACUAGGGCUCGUGGAUCCUCCAGUUGAUCAAAGGCAAGCGCGCACCUGAAAUCCGAGGUCUCCAUGCACUGACGCAUGGGAACUCAAUUCGAAAAUAGACUAUCAGAAGCGCCUUCUCAUCGGCAGCCGAAAGAACGACGCUGCUCGUGUUGACGGAGCAGCUUUACUCACUGGCUUGUAGAGUGGUUGAAUUGUCGUGAACUUUCCAAGUUCUACUCGCUGGCCGAACAUCGUAGCUAGUGGUGUCAAAGAAGAUUAUUGACCCGUGUAGGGAAACCAUUGAGCAGGCGUUUUAUGUUUUGCAUGUUUCAAACAUCCGUAUCAAUCUAUGAGUUAAUAUAGGUAACCUAUUGGUGGCCGGACAGCCUUACCUGAAAUUAGAAAAAAAAAAAAGAAAGUGCACCUUAUGUAGAGAUGUUACUGCCAUGUCUAUGUGUACUAUAACAAACAGCUGCGCUCACGAUGACUUUCAGUAUGAUGGCUUGAAUGAUUGGGCUAAAGCACCCUACGAACAUCCGUCAAUCGGCAUUGCCAUGGACUAAAUGUUCAUCGUAUACUGCAUAUAUAUAUUACAGAUAAAUGCCAGCUACAGUAACUACGCCAUGCUUGAUAUAUGCUUAUCAUCAAUACAACGCAUACAGCGUCUGAAUCUCGUCGCGUUAACAAUGAGCUGGUAUGAAGAUAAUUUGAUUAGAGUAAAAUGAAUAAAAAUUCGUUUGUCCGUUUACCCCGCACCCCACUGAAUUGUCAUCCUUCGCAACUGCAAAAUCUAGUGAACUGUGUUGCCAGUAGUUCAAGUCUCGCGAAAGGGGGUACGAACUCUUGCAAGCACGUGUCCAGUAUAAUUCAAUUGUGCCGACGCUCCAGCCGGUCGCCCCCUUCCAAAUGAACCCCAUGUACCCCAUGUAGAGCAGCACCGUAUGCCCGCAAGCUGGGCUGGCAUCCCUCUUCUAAAUUCUAUACAGCAGAAACACCCGCUAUCAAUAUCAUAGCCUUGUCUCGAAUUCGUUGUCAACCUGGCUUUACUAGUAGUACAAGUAUUUUAGUAGCACUGAUAGCGGCUGGCAGUAUCACAUGCUUCAUCGCGGCUGUCCGCCUCUCGAAAGGUGGAUGCCAAAGCCACCGCCACAAACUUGAUUACAGCCGCGAUUACCUCAGGCCGGGCGGAUAGCAGGCGAGGGCGAACGCUCUAAGUUAAUUUGAUUUCUACUGCAAGCCUUAAGCGGCGGUUCAGGGUCAGCUUGACAGGCUAUUACUACCGAGAACGUAUACUCAGCCACUCGAAGGCAAAACUAUUAAGACUAUCUCAGGUCUAGUAUUAUUAGCUAGUAUUAUGAGAGUAUUACGUAAAUUGUAUUGAAAGCCUCGAAGACAGCAGUCAAACAAACAAAGGACGCUUGCAUCUAGGCUUCUUCGGAGACGCGCCGCACUUUACCGAAAAACCUUAAUAGUGCCCUCGAUGAGAUAUGUAUGUGCCCUCGGCUUCGCAUUAUGUCGCUACGAUGAUGUAAAAGGAGCCCGUACAAGUUCGUUGUUAGCCUCUACUGUAGUAGUCGACUGAGGUAUGACGUCGCGAAGCUCGUUCGUUGGGAUGCAGGUUGAAAUGAACCUUAUACACGACACUAUCUGGCGCAUGCAGGCGCAGCAGUCCCUUGGUUCGCGUAUGGAAAUUCACCGUGGAUGAGCUCUCCCACACAUAGCCAUGCAAGCCCGACACAACCCGUGGGAACGUUGCACACCCAAAAUUACAGCGACAUUGCCCAGCGCUGGAUAUUGGGUUGGCUGUCACAGUUGUUGCAUUUUGGCUACGUAGCAGGCAAACGAAGAUCGAAAUCGACAGAUGUCAGUAGACACUCGCAAACUUACCACGCCAUAACACUUUCACGGGUACGAGGUUGUGUCGCGCCACCUUUGCAAGCGUAGUAAAGUAGCGUGCAGUGACAACUAUACGAGCUUUUCGAGAAAGCGUAUCGGCUGCCUUUCUAAUAUCGCUUAGGUACACAAGUGGUCGAGAUAAGGGCAUUGAGUUCGACGAAUUGUGCCAACGUCCAACGAAUAUGGUAGCGAUUAAGUGCCAAAGCUUGAUAUAAUCAUCUUCGAUUUGGCAAGAUCAAUAUGUGUAACAAUGUAUAUAUAUACACGUUCCUGCUGAUGACAAAGUUACUUUCAUAUUACAGAAAGUAUAACCAGCCCCUUGUCGUUUAUCGAAUUCGCCCCGUCGUUCUGCUAAACUAAUUGACCUUAACUGUUUUGAGUAACGGCCUUCCGUGCCAUGUCGUCUCCUAGUGUAUAGCAGUACGUAAUUGUAUUAUUUACUUUCUAAUCAAUUGCGGUCGCAAACGUCAUUGAUUACAAUAUUAACACUGGUGCCUUAGCGGUGGUUUACAACGUCCAAUGAACUUGUGAGAUCAAGCACAAACUGCUUAGUAUGGUAUCCACGCAGACUCUAGUGGUUCUACCAAGAUUUACAGCCGGCAAAAAAGCUAUGGCUGUCCGCUCAAGUAGACCUCUUGUAAUACUUUGGGCCUGUAGGACAAUUGUAAAGGUUUUUGAAGUCCUUGAAAGAAACAGCUUUGCUCGUCGUGCGAUUGCGUCGAUCUGCCAUCGAAUCUGCCAGCAGCAAUAAACAAUAUCCAGAUUCAGCAUAAUCAGCUGAUAGUCGGGUCCGCAAAACUUUCUAUCCUAACAGAGUAAUCGUAGGGUCCUCUCAGACUUCCGCCGCGUGAAAUUUAAUGAAAUUUAUUGCGGCCUUCAUGACGGCGGCAACCCCGUGACCAAUAUAUGAAGAGGACGAGUGACCACACGACAAUCCGAAGCGCGUUAUUCUAGCGCCCAAAGGUCAGAGUCCAUGAUAUGUUUGUACAUGAACUGAUCUGGGGUCUCUCGAGUUGCCAGCUCGCGGCGUUGACCUUCAAGGUCAAGUUGACUCAAUCUAUACGUAUUCUGGACGCAAUAACAUGACCUAAAGACUCAGCAGCGUAUCGUGCACAGGGUGCAAUGGAACGCGUAUGUAUCUUUAAUCCUGUUACGAGCACGAUUAAAGCCCUAUCGAGUAAGAUAAUGCUUAUAAAUAUACAACUUAUAUGGCUACAUGUAAUAGUUUCAAACGCAUUUAGUUCAGUAACGGCCAACCACACGUAUUACUGAUUAGCGCUUUACGUUCAAAUUACGGCGGUGAGACCAGUUACGUUAGGUCAUAUUUUUCAAAUAUCAAAAAGUCGCUAAGGAUAUUGCGGCGAACCCAGUGAGAGUUUACAAUAAGCUCGUGGAACCUUGUGCUUGACAACCCCGAAAUAUAUUGACAAAAAAUUUACCACGAAUGAACGUGAAGCACGUACAAGAGAUGAAAUACUCCUUUAUUUGUAUUUUGGUAAACCCCUUUCUUUGUAGCCUUUUAUUUGUCCUACAGUUGGCUACACCAACACUCUUUGAUAACGACUAUUGCCUAAUUGUCCCGCUAUAUAAACAAACAAACAAACAAACACUGCGUUUUUCCGAAAUGUUUCUGUUUGUACUAAUUUGGCUGUUUUUCUUACAGACUCUGUCAGAAAAGACAGGAAGGAGAAAUUAGCCAAGAUCCAUGUUUUCAGGCUGAAGAUUUGCUUCCAUAUUAAAAAACGAUAUGCGGUGUAGAUUUUGACCACAUUAUAACCACUUUUUUUCUAAUUAUUCGCAAAGGCUGAAAUCCUACGUUUCAGCAGCAACGGCCCGGUCCUAAGUUAAACUUCAUUCAAAUAGAAGGCCAGCAAAUCUAUGACUGGACGAACUCGUCCCGCAUGCCCCCCAAACCAACCAAAUUAUUCCAAUCUUCAACCGGUAGAAGCAGCAAAAACUUGCAACGAUCAGUUAGCCUGUUAUCCACCUUUUGUCUGGUGCCGUGCUUAAAUCAGCCAGAAGCGGAUGGCACAAAUCCUUUGAGGCUUUUCAGCUCUCGAGAUGUACGCGUGUUUCCCACGCGUCUCACUCCAACCGUUUCUUCUGUCAAUCGCUGAAUUACCUUAAUCAUAAUGCUUAGGGUCGUUGUGGCCGUCCGUCCAACUGUUGGGCCUGCCGCUACUUCUGCUACUACCAUAUUUCUCUCGCUAUUGUGCCGCUUGUCCAGCGUUUCCUCUCCGUAUUUUUCUUCUCUUUGAUGCGUUCUUUAUCUGCUCUCGGCCUUGGCUGGUCUCUAACUUUGCGUGUCUGCUGCAGUCGCGGCGUUGCCGUCGUUGGCUGUGAAGUGUUUGGCCGACCGUUCCAUUCUUGGUCCCGUAUCUGUGCCUGCUCGUGAACUCCACGAGCCUGGCGGCCGCGCGCAAGCGACCCGAACCGGCCUAUCGACUGGCCUGUACAUGGUUUCGUCUGCCGGCUGGCACACAGCACUUUGCCUCUUCUCUUUUCCUGGCUUCCUUCGCCACCAUCAUAGCCACUUGUGUUUGCUGUCAUUCUUGUUCGUAGCUGUCUACGGUGGCUGCUGCCUCGUGCUCGCCACUCGCCACCUGACUACCGGGUCGACCUAGUCGGCCACUGCUGUUCAGGUAACUAUGUCUUUAGGCAGAAACUAUUCCUUCAUCUUCGAUUCGACGGUGCCUGGCGCGGCCGCCAUAGGCAACAACUGCAGUCCGAUGCUCAGCAAAGAAUAGCGAGAGCAGAUUUGUGGUCCUGGUUAGAACACAAUGCUGUUGUCGGCCGGCCUGCAUAUCUACCUAUUGGACGACUUGCAGGCACAAUUGGGGCACACACAGUCCAUGCGAUAGCCACCACAACAGCGCCCGCAGUAGCGACAACCUCAGCCGCCCCCUGCACCUCCAUUUUAAUUCUGCCUGAGACGUCGUAAUGGUUGUGGAUGGACUGUAAUCAAGUAAGUGUUCUGAGGAGGUCAGCGGACCCGUUCCCACGAUCGACGAUGCCGAGAGACACAGCUAACCGACAUUUGUGUCCAGUGUUUACGAACGCAUGCAGCAAAGAUACUUCAUGGACGAGUUGCGCAAGGAUGCAAAUACCUGUUUGAAGAAGCGCAUGAAAAAUUACAAUAACAAAGCUUACUCUCUAAAGCAUGGAGUGUUUCUGGAAGCGUUUUUAAGAGCAGAUACGUAAACGACAGUUAUGGUAACGAUACUGCUCAUCCGUAUCUUUUGUUAUGCGUGACAAAAGAUUUGCCAGUACGUGUCACAAACCAUGGAACCUCGCUGUUAACUAGCUUAUGAGUUGCAGCCUUGCACCCGCAUCACUGUCAACGAAACCACGUCGCGAAGUCCCCAGAGUCUCGAAAAUGUGUCGCUCAAUCUGCUCGAGCCAGACAAAGAAGAUCUACUCCUCAUCGCGUGGGAACGCACGCGUCGCGAAGCUCUCAGACUCGGUCCCAGGCCCGGAGCAGCCAGAUCCGAUCGGCAUAGGACGACGAGUACUCCUCACUUCACCUUCAUGUAGGACGACCGGCCUGUUGUCCUCUCGGCCGGGUACGAAGACCUGAGCCAAGUUGUACUGGCAGGAGGCUAGGUGGGGUAGAAUCGCCUUUAGCUCCGACACCCGACAUCAGGUCGUAGCAGGCGGUAGGUAGUAGCAUUCGAUGUUAGUGUCUGGUACGGCAGCAUGCUAGCGCGCGGUUCGAAACGCAACCCCUGUUUCUCAGGCAGCUCCCUCAGCCUUGCUGAGGUGGUUCAGCGAGCGCUUCAGUUGCAGCCUCAACUUCCUCCUCACCCACUCAGUGGGUAACUCACUGGCUCCGCCUCCUCCGGUACCUCGCCUGAUGAGAGCCAUAAAAGCCGAGCGAACUGGACACCGACAAUCAUUGCAUCUCAGGCAAACCUCGAUCGCCUUGAGCCAUUCUGCGAGCUCAGUGCACAACCUUGGAUACUACCUUACCGACUCCGUUGAAGCUCGUUCUUUUUGGGAUACACCUACGACCAGCCGUUUUACUGAUCAGCUCACUUCAAAACAGCUGAUCACUAACUACCCACAAUGUUCGCCAAGAUUGCACCUCACAACCUACCUUCCUAUUCGAAGAUGGACAAUCUCGACGAUACAUUCAUCAGUGUCCCACCAACGCCGACUAGCCCAAAGGCCCCGCUCAGUCCGGUGGUCUUACCAACGAUAUCAGGCCGCGACCAGACCGACCUACUUGAAAUGGGGCUGUACGUACCGAUUCGCAUCGAGGUCGGCAAACCCGAACCCGCCUCGAGUUUUUUGGCUCCUCGCAAGGACUACGCCUUCUGGAUCUUCCUCUGUGCUAUCCUCUGUAUCUUUGCCGUCGCCUGCGCCACCGUACUGCACAUUACGGCGUCACAGCUCAACCAGUUUCAGCAGCUGAGGACGAUGGAGCUCUACCGCACUAUGAGCUAGGAUGUGUCCUGCCGACGAAACUAGUCAACGUACCAAAUCGAAUCGUCGAUAUUAGUUCAAAGCCGAGACGAAGAACUAAAACUACCAAGUGAUCUUCCUCCCUUAUGAGAGUCUUCUCAAGGAUUGAAGAAACACAGAAUUUCUCAAGGCUCUUAAAAGCUCCCGUGAAAAGCCCGUGUCCUGUUCACUGUGACGGUCAUUUGAGCACAACAAGGAAGGAUGACAAGACAUUGUACAUAUUGUUCCAGUUGCAAUAGUGCCUUAAAGUAUUUAUUAUAUGAACUUUUUUGUAAAUGUCAAACCAAGGCAUAGAUAUUAAAAGAAAACCAUAACUUAUUAUAAAGU